GUGCUUGCUUUGGCAGCACAUAUUCUAAAAAUGGAAUGAUACAGAGAUUAGCAUGGCUUCUGCGCAAGAUUGAUAUGAAAAUUCGUGAAGUGUUCCAUAUUAAA